rnacentral:lncRNA from 1 species
GCAUAUAUUCAUGAAAAAAAGAGAAGACAAAGUACACUAAAAUAAUUUAUUCAAUUAAUUCAAACAGAGGAGAUUAUGAUCAUUUCUAUCUCAUUUUCAGUUUAAUAACAAAUAAAAAAAAUAACCCCAAUAUUUGUUGCAGUGGUUUAAAUGAAGUCUUGGAGCAAGCCGUAAACUCGAAUAUCUUGCGAUCAAAUUCCACUAACUGCAAAAUGUCAAGUCCAAAAAGUCAUGAGGCCACGAAAGCGCCUGAUCUGGGAUCGGUUGGGAAAAACUCCAUAUUAUCAAAAAAAAAAAAACCUAUUUUCAAUGAAGAUAAUUUUAACAAAAUAUAUUUUUUGAAAAUUAUUUUCUACAAAAAAAUUUGUGAAACAAACCAACCCUAAAAUUCUC